rnacentral:rRNA from 1 species
CAACCUGCCGUCUACUCUUGGACAGCCUUCUGAAAGGAAGAUUAAUACAAGAUGGCAUCAUGAGUCCGCAUGUUCACAUGAUUAAAGGUAUUCCGGUAGACGAUGGGGAUGCGUUCCAUUAGAUAGUAGGCGGGGUAACGGCCCACCUAGUCUUCGAUGGAUAGGGGUUCUGAGAGGAAGGUCCCCCACAUUGGAACUGAGACACGGUCCAAACUCCUACGGGAGGCAGCAGUGAGGAAUAUUGGUCAAUGGGCGAGAGCCUGAACCAGCCAAGUAGCGUGAAGGAUGACUGCCCUAUGGGUUGUAAACUUCUUUUAUAAAGGAAUAAAGUCGGGUAUGCAUACCCGUUUGCAUGUACUUUAUGAAUAAGGAUCGGCUAACUCCGUGCCAGCAGCCGCGGUAAUACGGAGGAUCCGAGCGUUAUCCGGAUUUAUUGGGUUUAAAGGGAGCGUAGAUGGAUGUUUAAGUCAGUUGUGAAAGUUUGCGGCUCAACCGUAAAAUUGCAGUUGAUACUGGAUAUCUUGAGUGCAGUUGAGGCAGGCGGAAUUCGUGGUGUAGCGGUGAAAUGCUUAGAUAUCACGAAGAACUCCGAUUG